rnacentral:rRNA from 1 species
GACGAACGCUGGCGGCGUGCUUAACACAUGCAAGUCGAACGAUGAAGCCGGAGCUUGCUCUGGUGAAUUAGUGGCGAACGGGUGAGUAACACGUGAGUAACCUGCCCUUGACUCUGGGAUAACUGCUAGAAAUGGUAGCUAAUACCGGAUUAGACCCUCGGAGGCAUCUCUAGGGGGUGGAAAGAAGUUCGGCCAAGGAUGGACUCGCGGCCUAUCAGCUAGUUGGUGAGGUAACGGCUCACCAAGGCGACGUCGGGUAGCCGGCCUGAGAGGGUGACCGGCCACACUGGAACUGAGACACGGCCCAGACUCCUACGGGAGGCAGCAGUGGGGAAUAUUGCACAAUGGGCGCAAGCCUGAUGCAGCAACGCCGCGUGAGGGAUGACGGCCUUCGGGUUGUAAACCUCUUUCAGCACCGACGAAGCGCAAGUGACGGUAGGUGCAGAAGAAGGACCGGCCAACUACGUGCCAGCAGCCGCCGUAA